CUUGACGACCAUAGAACAUUGGAACCACCUGAUCCCAUCCCGAACUCAGCAGUGAAACGAUGUAUAGCCGAUGGUAGUGUGGGGUUUCCCCAUGUGAGAGUAGGUCAUCGUCAAGA
rnacentral:rRNA from 1 species